UUUCUCUUCUCAGCCGCGCGUUAUCCUCUCCCCCGACCUCUCUCUCUCGUCCUCUCUGCCAUCACCGGAAAACUCCAACUCUGGCCACUAUCUCGCAAAACCGCCACCACCCAUCAAUGCAGUACCUGAAUCUGACCCAAACCCAAGAGAAAUUGAAGCCAUGCAUCAACCCCGACCUCUCUCUCUCUUCUUCUUCCCUCUGCCACCACCGGAGACUCCAGCUCCGGCCACCAUCUCAACACACCACCUCCACCAAUCGAACCAGGACCCAAUUCCGACCUAAACCCAACAAGAAUUACCGGCAUGCACCGCUUCCAACCACCACAUCCAACCACCAUAGUUCCCGCCACCAUGCCUAGCCAGAAAGGCUACCUCCGAUCACUUUCUCCACUCAUCGCCACCACAAAUUGAUUCAGAACAAGCCACUCGCCCAAAACCCGAAGCCUUUGCAUCGUCUGACGCCGGAAGACCACCGAACACACCUCACUUUAGAGUCCUGUCAUUGCCCGCCUCCGAUCUCCAACUUCCAGCCACGAUUGAGCCAAACCACCACCAUAAGUGGAGUCAGCGUGUUCUUGUUCGCCAGAACCCCAUGGUUCCGAUCUCUGGUUCCACCCAGAACUCUUACACGCGCCGCCACAGGUGCGUGGACCACCGUAGCUCCGCCGCUCAUGGUUGUCGGAUCUUCGGGACUUCUCGAUUAGGUAAUUUAACGAUUUCUUUUUAGCUGGAGCUUCUAGUUUGAGUAGAGUGAACCCUAAUAACUUGUUGUUUGGUUUGGAGGAAUUGAGGUCUGCGAGAUUGUAAGGUUUUGGAGAAGAGAAGUGUAGGGUCAGUUUCCAUUGAGAAUGGACUGAGGUGUUUCAAAACGGUUGUCGAUGGUGGAAUGCAGCUACAAUGGAUUUCUAAUUUGGAAAGGAGAAUGGACUCGAGCAUGUGCACUUGGAUUUGGACAAAUGAUUGAAAGUCGGGAACGAACCCGAAUAUGGACGAGCACUCCAUAUCCAGUGUGCAGGUUUCGAGCAUGUGGUCGGGAAGCGUACAGGGGAGGCACAUGGCCCGGCUUGGCGCAUUCUUUGAUUUUACUAAAAUAAGGUUUUGGGUCCAUUGUCGGAUUUUGAAGUAACUUAUUUAUUUACUUUUUUUGUUAUUUAUUUAUUUGUUUCUUCUCGCUUAUUUACAAAACUUUGGGAGACCCGUAACCCUGGGGCGCGUCUCUCAUACUUGUAUUUACUUAGUAAUUUGUUAUUUUCCAAAUUGGGCUCCUAUUGUAAGCCCAAAUCC